CUGGUUCGGUGUUUGCAUCCCGAACGUGGAGCUGAAAAUCCGAGGGGCCCAUUUCCAAGGGGAGCAGCUUUGGUGAGAGGCCUGUGUCUGAUCACUUCCACCUGCUCCCCCUUCUCCCCAGGUCACAAAGAGGGCAGUGAGGUGGAAAGUGGCCAGCACUGGGGAUGGGCCCACGCGAGUGUGGACAGGUUUGCAGUGCUGUAUCACCUGUGGACUUGGGAAGCCACUCUUCUGGAAAACAAGCGCCAGCUUCUUGAUAGCUACUUCGAAGCGUACCAGCACACGCUGGAUCCUCAAGAGAGGUUGGCCUUAGCUCAAGUGAUGACUGACAUCAUGCACCGGCGCCCCAGGUUCGAUCUCGGCCACGCCUAUUUCAUUAAGGCCUACCAAGAGGAGUGCACCUGCCUGAGGUUUCACCUGCAGCUAGUGAGGCGCAUCCUCCACCAGCAGAUAGAGUGUCAGCGGGAAUAUGUCCAGAGGCUUUGGCGAGAAGAUCAUCUCGAUCUUGAUGAUAGGAAUAAAUUCGGCCUUCCCCUCAACAUCAUUUGCAAACAAUUGAUUUCCAUCAACAACAGCUGCCCAGCUUUGGAAGACAUUUAUCUGCUGGAGUUCCAUCCUUCUCUUGGCCUGGCUGCACUCAUCCCCAAAGCCCUGGACUACCUCCUCCAGGAAGCCUGCCGGGCCUCUAGACCCACAACAGCCAGCGGCCUUGCCCUGCUAGAGCGACGCAUCCUGCGGCUGGCCCUGGACCUGUGCUUUGCCCCGACCCAGCCUGAGACCUGGUACAGUGUGCGGCUCCAGACAGAGCUGUUUUCGGCUAAAGUGAUGGGAGAUCCCUUUCUCGUGGAAGAGAUAGGCCUGCUGGCUCUCCAGCCUGCAGCAGCAGCAGGACAGGAACGAGGGCUGGGGCCUCCUGUGCUGCCCCUGGACACGUUCGCCAGACUCCUGGAGCUCUUGACCCUCCGCCACCGGCUGAUAGAAGCGAGUCUGCAGAGUGCGCACUUAGCUCGGUCAGUAGAGGCGUGGGUGCCGGGGCACCAGAAGCUCUGUGGAAAGGCGUGGGGAGCUGUAGACCACGGGGCUCCCUGUCCACAAACCUUGCCCCACUGCCCUGCCCCAGAACAGCCACAGUGGGUCAUUUAUUCAUUUAUUAAAGUUGUUAUAUAG
rnacentral:lncRNA from 1 species